AAGCCGGUGUAGCUCAAUUGGCAGAGCACUCGACUUGUAAUCGAGAGGUUGUGGAUCCAAUUGAGCUACACCGGCUUA
rnacentral:tRNA from 1 species